AUUGAACGCUGGCGGCAGGCUUAACACAUGCAAGUCGAACGAGUGGCGGACGGGUGAGUAAUGCUUGGGAAUCUAGCUUAUGGAGGGGGAUAACUACGGGAAACUGUAGCUAAUACCGCGUACCAUAGGAUGAGCCCAAGUGGGAUGAGGUAGUUGGUGAGGAAAAGGCUCACCAAGCGGACGAUCUCUAGCUGGGCUGAGAGGAGGACCGGCCAAACUGGGACGGAGACACGGCCCAGACUCCUACGGGAGGCAGCAGUGGGGAAUAUUGCGCAAUGGGGGCAACCUGACGCAGCCAGGCCGCGUGAAUGAAGAAGGCCUUCGGGUUGUAAAGUUCUUUCGGUAGCGAGGCGUUAACUACAGAAGAAGCACCGGCUAACUCCGUGCCAGCAGCCGCGGUAAUAC
rnacentral:rRNA from 1 species